rnacentral:sRNA from 1 species
GCGGAGGAAAAGAAACCAACAGGGAUUGCCCUAGUAACGGCGAGUGAAGCGGCAACAGCUCAAAUUUGAAAUCUGGCCUCGGCCCGAGUUGUAAUUUGCAGAGGAUGUUUCUGGCGCGGUGCCUUCCGAGUUCCCUGGAACGGGACGCCAAAGAGGGUGAGAGCCCCGUAUGGUUGGACACCAAGCCUGUGUGAAACUCCUUCGACGAGUCGAGUAGUUUGGGAAUGCUGCUCUAAAUGGGAGGUAAAUCUCUUCUAAAGCUAAAUACCGGCCAGAGACCGAUAGCGCACAAGUAGAGUGAUCGAAAGAUGAAAAGCACCUUGAAAAGGGGGUUAAAUAGUACGUGAAAUUGUUGAAAGGGAAGCACUUAUGACCAGACUUGGGCCGGGCGGCUCAUCAGGGGUUCUCCCCUGUGCACUCCGCCCGGCACAGGCCAGCAUCGGUUUUCGCGGGGGGAUAAGACCGUCAGGAACGUAGCACCCUCCGGGGUGUGUUAUAGCCUGGCGGACGAUACCCUCGCGGGGACCGAGGUUCGCGCUCCGCAAGGAUGCUGGCGUAAUGGUCAUCAGUGACCCGUCUUGAAACACGGACCAAGGAGUCGUCCAUUAGAGCGAGCGUUUGGGUGUAAAACCCGCACGCGUAAUGAAAGUGAACGCAGGUGAGAGCUUCGGCGCAUCAUCGACCGAUCCUGAUGUUCUCGGAAGGAUUUGAGUAAGAGUUUUAACGGACGGACCCGAAAGACAGUGAACUAUGCUUGUAUAGGGUGAAGCCAGAGGAAACUCUGGUGGAGGCUCGCAGCGGUUCUGACGUGCAAAUCGAUCGUCAAAUAUGA